rnacentral:misc_RNA from 1 species
GAUGAAGAACGUAGCGAAAUGCGAUAAGUAAUGUGAAUUGCAGAAUUCAGUGAAUCAUCGAAUCUUUGAACGCACAUUGCGCCCCCUGGCAUUCCGGGGGGCAUGCCUGUUCGAGCGUCAUUACAACCCUCAAGCUCUGCUUGGUAUUGGGCUCUGCUGGGACCGGCAGGCCUUAAAAUCAGUGGCGGCGCCACUCGGCUUCAAGCGUAGUAAUUCUUCUCGCUUCGGAGACCCGGGUGCGUGCUAGCCAGCAACCCCCAACUUUCUUAGGUUGACCUCGGAUCAGGUAGGGAUACCCGCUGAACUUAAGCAUAUCAAUAAGCGGGA